UACGUAGGGUGCGAGCGUUAAUCGGAAUUACUGGGCGUAAAGCGUGCGCAGGCGGUUCGUUGUGUCUGAUGUGAAAGCCCCGGGCUUAACCUGGGAAUGGCAUUGGAAACUGGCGAGCUGGAGUGUGGCAGAGGGGGGUGGAAUUCCGCGUGUAGCAGUGAAAUGCGUAGAGAUGCUGAGGAACACCGAUGGCGAAGGCAGCCCCCUGGGCUGACACUGACGCUCAGGCACGAAAGCGUGGGGAGCAAACAGG
rnacentral:rRNA from 1 species